rnacentral:piRNA from 1 species
UGGCUGCCUUUGGAUGAAAUGAUGCCAGU